CGUGACUUCACCACAGGUUUGUGCCAUACUGUAGCCAUCCCCGCUUCACCAUGGAUGCUCAAGCAAGUCCUGGUCAGUCACCGCACUCCAGCUCCGACCCCAGCGUCUGUGCAUUUUAGGUACAAGGCCAAGUAGAAGCAAUUAAAAGGAACUAAACCCAG